rnacentral:rRNA from 1 species
GCAGCCGCGGUAAUUCCAGCUCCAAUAGCGUAUAUUAAAGUUGUUGCAGUUAAAAAGCUCGUAGUUGAACUUCAGGCUUGGCUGGGCGGUCCGCUUAACGGCGUGUACUGUCUGGCUGGGUCUUACCUCUUGGUGAACUGGCGUGACCUUUAUUGGUUGCGUUAGGGAACCAGGACUUUUACCUUGAGAAAAUUAGAGUGUUCAAAGCAGGCCUACGCCCGAAUACAUUAGCAUGGAAUAAUAGAAUAGGACGCGCGUUCCCAUUUUGUUGGUUUCUGAGAUCGCCGUAAUGAUUAAUAGGGAUAGUUGGGGGCAUUUGUAUUCCGUCGUCAGAGGUGAAAUUCUUGGAUUGAUUGAAGACUAACUACUGCGAAAGCAUUUGCCAAGGAUGU